rnacentral:lncRNA from 1 species
CGCACAGCCUCCGCGGGGGCCAGGGGGCCCGAGGGCAGGCCCAUCAGCCGGAGGAGCGGCCGGGGGCCGCCGCCGGGUCUCCUGACUUUCGCCGUCCGAGGGGUCGCCGGCCAGGGCGUGCGCCCCAGGGAGAAGAGCGCUGGCCGGCGGGUCUGCUCCGCGUCCGGAAACUAUCAGGGAAAUUGCGGGAAAGUUGCCUGGAGGUACGAAAAGAAGUGGCAGAGCCAAAACGAACUGCCGCGAGUCUACAUCAAAUAGCGCCUUUCUUCGCUGUUUCGGAGAGGCAGGGGUGAAAGAGUGACAUGAUUACCGUGGAGGAAUACAUUAUGAGAAUUUCUGAAUGUUUGGCUAUGCUUUUUCUCUUACCAGCUUGGAGGUGUUUGGAGACCCGCUUCAAGCUCCAGGCAAAUAAUAAAUAUUCAUUGAGCCCCACGCGCAAGGAGUGCGCCCGUGAGGAGAGCCGCCCAGCGUGAAAGGAAAGAGCAGCCUGCCGAGGAAUGGCGCCGCCCACACUUCCCGUGCCGCUGAUGACAACAGAAGCGGACAAAGAAACAAGACGCAGCAAAUAGACACAGAGAACAGACAACCAGGGCAGGGGAG